CAGAUGACAAAUGACUCAAUUCAAAGAUAUAUCCACCCAAGAAAUGUGCAAACUUCAAGACUCUUCAAAAUUCUAACACAAGUGGGCCAUAGUUGCUAUCCUUUUACUUCAACAGCCCAAUGCAGUGAUUCUUCUUAGAAACUAAUGCUGCUUAGAUCCCAGGUUCAGAACUUACAGCUUUACCAACUACAAAUGCAAAGUGGAAGUAAA